UCUUCUUCAUCUUCUUCAGAGAGAUAGAAAGAGGAACAGCAAAGUGUGGCCCUUGUUCAGUAAAUGGAGGUGGUGGAUUACGACCACCCUUGAAAUGGAACCCAUGACUUCGGGUCUCACGUCAUCGUUCUUCUCGGGCUCAAUCAACCUCUUGCAUCAUCCCAAUUAGAAACACCUUACUUCAGCAGCACCAAGGAUUUCCAUGCGUGUCUGCCGCCAUUGCGGGGCUUGUCUCAUUCUCAAUCAUGAUAUGAUGAUAUACACGUUGUUUGAACUUCGAAAUCCGAAAUUUUCAUGGUGAUAAGGAUAGGACUCCCUUUGAUAAGUUGCAUGAUAACUACUUCUGCCCCGGAACAUUCUCCAAAAGAGAGAAAGAAUUCUUGAAAAUAACAUACAAUGAAGCUAUGGUAUCAGCUUGAAUGACAUAUACACGGCCAUUCGCACUCGCUACUCAAAGUUCCCAAAGGGCUAUAAUAACAGUUCAUUAUCAUUCUAAACAACAUUGAUAAAGAACUUCAACUCAAGCAUGAGCAGUAUGGCAUGUAUGGGGUAUCCCUCUGAUCAAUGUCCCGUGAGAAAUAUCAAGAGAUGGUUCUAAGUGGGGGCUGCUUGUAAACAAUACACAGAUGCCUGCCAAUUGGGAUCAUCAAGCACCGCACCAACCUCAAAUGUCAUCCAUUCCUGGAAUCAACCAAUUGCAACAGCAUUCAUUACAAAUUGUUGGGCUACGCGGAAAUGGUCAAACAUUCUUUUGACCCAGAAAGGUAGCACCGUCGAGCCAGUUGGGGCGGAGAAUGCCAACAUCGAAAUGGACCACCUUGCAGGUGGUGUUGAAUGGGUGGAGGGUGUAGUAGGAGGUGCCGUUGUCCCACCCAGCUGGUGCUGGAUGAUGUUGAAGUUGCGGCCGUUGGGCCAGUCGUACCAUAAGUCUACCUUCUGCAGAGAACCGCUUCUGUUGUUGAAGAGCACCGAGUGGAAUUGAUCAGGCCAUGUUGCUGGAAGUGGCUCCUCUGCCAUUAACGGCGACAGCUGAAGAAACAGAGGAAGAAGUAGAUGAAACACACAGACGGGGUCUAAUGCCGGUUGCAGAGGCCAUUCUCGUGCUUUGCUGUGAGUAUCAGUGCGAAUACCGAGUUCAAUCCUCACUCGUCCUUUUUUCCUUUCUCUUUUUAUCUUUUAAUCGCUUUGAGUAUGAAAUA